AUUGAACGCUGGCGGCAUGCCUUACACAUGCAAGUCGAACGGUAACGGGCCUUCGGGUGCCGACGAGUGGCGCACGGGUGAGUAAUACAUCUGAACGUUCCCGCUCGUGGGGAUAACGAGGCGAAAGCUUUGCUAAUACCUCAUACGAUCUACGGAUGAAAGCAGGGGACCGCAAGGCCUUUCGCGGACGGAGCGGCCGAUGGCAGAUUAGGUAGUUGGUGGGAUAAAAGCUUACCAAGCCGACGAUCUGUAGCUGGUCUGAGAGGAUGAUCAGCCACACUGGGACUGAGACACGGCCCAGACUCCUACGGGAGGCAGCAGUGGGGAAUUUUGGACAAUGGGCGCAAGCCUGAUCCAGCCAUGCCGCGUGCAGGAUGAAGGCCUGCGGGUUGUAAACUGCUUUUGUACGGAACGAAAAGCCUUCUUUUAAUACAGGAGGGUCAUGACGGUACCGUAAGAAUAAGCACCGGCUAACUACGUG
rnacentral:rRNA from 1 species